rnacentral:rRNA from 1 species
CGUAGGGUGCGAGCGUUGUCCGGAAUUAUUGGGCGUAAAGAGCUUGUAGGCGGUUAGUCGCGUCGGAAGUGAAAACUCGGGCCUUAAUCCCGAGCUUGCUUCCGAUACGGGCUGACUAGAGGAAGGUAGGGGAGAAUGGAAUUCCUGGUGGAGCGGUGGAAUGCGCAGAUAUUAGGAGGAACACCGGUGGCGAAGGCGGCUAUCUGGACAGUAACUGACGCUGAGGCGCGAAAGCGUGGGGAGCAAACAGGAUUAGAUACCCUGGUAGUCCCU